UCUCAUUCUUCUUCUUCUUUUCUUCAUUUUUUCUCUUCAUUCUCACUUGUAAUUUUGGGGGGUAAAUCAAAAGUACAAGGACAAUCUAUCAAAGAAGUUGGAGAAACUUUGGGAAAAUCAAGAGCUAUCCAUUUUCAUCUGGACAAAUCCAACAAAAAAGGAUUUUUCAAUAAUCUUUAUUUUCUCCAUUGUUUUGCCGAAUUUGUAAAAUAUUGUUAUAAAUAUUCUUCUUUUUAUCAUUUGUAUAACAUAG
rnacentral:lncRNA from 1 species